rnacentral:rRNA from 1 species
AACGAACGUUGGCGGCGUGGAUUAGGCAUGCAAGUCGCGGGAAUGCCCAGCAAUGGGUGGAACCGGCGUAAGGGGCAGUAAGGCGUGGGUAACCUACCCCGGGAUUUGGCAUAGCCCGUAGAAAUACGGGGUAAUUCCAAGCGACGUGAUCGAGGGGCAUCUCUUGAUCACCAAAGCUCCGGCGUCCCGGGAGGGGCCCACGUGAUAUUAGCUAGUUGGUGAGGUAACGGCUCACCAAGGCGAAGAUGUCUAGCGGGUGUGAGAGCACGACCCGCGCCACUGGCACUGAGACACUGGCCAGACACCUACGGGUGGCUGCAGUCGAGGAUCUUCGGCAAUGGGCGCAAGCCUGACCGAGCGACGCCGCGUGUGCGAUGAAGGCCUUCGGGUUGUAAAGCACUGUCGAGGGGGAGAAAAGCGCAAGCUUGAUCUAUCCCUGGAGGAAGCACGGGCUAAGUUCGUGCCAGCCGCCGCAGUAAUAC